UUUCCGUAGGUGAACCUGCGGAAGGAUCAUUAACAAGUCUCUGUGCUCGAGGGGGGUGAUAGCUCCUUGACACAUUAGUGCUACGCACUCUGCGCGUAGAUAUUCAUUUUGACUGAUCAUUUGCAAGCGAAUACAACUUUUAACAAUGGAUCUCUAGGCUCUU
rnacentral:misc_RNA from 1 species